UUAUUUACUUUUUUUUGAGUGACGAUUAUGUCAUAGUUUUCAAUUUUACAGAGAAGUGCUUGCUGAUGAACACAUUGUUGUAUUCCCCGGCUGUAAUCAGGACACAGUUUCCUCUCCAGAAGUUCACCAGCAGCAAGGUUCAACAAGAAGCAGCUGAAGCAUCCUGACAGAGGAAGCAUCCACUCCUUGUCACUGCAGUGGAUCUCCCUUUCCUGGUGUUCUCCUCAGGAGCCACCCUGGUUCCAAGCAGCACCUGUAUUGUGUUUCCAAGCAGAGUGACUCAUGAGAGCAGCACUCCAACUCCUGUUUCGUGAGCUGACUCCGUAGAUGUGAACAGAGCUGCUGGGAACACAGGACCUGCUGCAAACAUAUUUCUGCUUAUCAACCAGCAACUUGAACUUUGUAGUGCUUCAGAUUUAUUCAUAUUUUCAGUUUUUUUUCUAUGCUUCUGGUUGUGAUAAAUUUUUCUGACAGUGAGCAGGAAUUUAUAAAAUUAUCAGUUUUUAUAAUUUAUCAGUUUACUGAUAUCUGGGCACAGUAUUCAGCAGGGGUAAGGCUGAGACAUGGAAAUAAGACUGGGCAAGGACUUCUGAUCUACAGGUGCCUCUAUCUGCUGCUGCACUUCAUGAAAUCACUUUUGAAACCCUGGAAAGUUCUAUCUUAGGACAAGUGAAGUUUCCUGACUCCAUUCCUGCAGUGAGGAGACACCACAACCUCAGUUCUCUGUUGACUGAAGACUUUCUCCUACUUUGCAUUGCAAAUAUUUGUAUGACUAAUUCAAACCCACUGGCUUGUUUCUACUUUUUUCCUCUCCAGUUUUCUCUUUUGCUAAAAUAAUGUUUGCUUCUCCCAGGCCUUGAGACCAAUAAGUUUACUCACAGUGAACAGGUUUUCUCGGAGCUUCAUCUAAACUGAAGCUGUUGUGUUGGGUGGAAUGAAAUUUAAAACAUUUAUGAUAAAUCAUAAUUCAUAAAGUUUUUUCUAAUUUCCAUGUAUCUCUGUUUUUUCUACUUCUGUCUAGACUCAGUAGAUGUAUUUGAAUUCUGGAUUUAGCACCUGGCUAAAUCCUACUAACCUUCAGAAAGUUUCACCCCAGUUUAUUCAAUAAAAAAAAAGCCAACUCCCCCAAGCACAACUAGAAACCAUUAGAAAAACAUAAAAAGCUCUGAUUUAUGCUGGAUAUCAGAUGAAAUCAUCUUAUCCCCUCUGAUAUGCAAUCUAUGAAUGCAGAAAAUUUUGGCUGACUCAUGAGAGUCCCAGAAUGGCACUAGAUGUUGACAGAUAUAUUAAGAAGAGCUAAGCAAUUUUUUGUACCAAUGCAGAGGCAGGGGAGAUGUGUUCAUUAGUUGUUGGUGAAAUUACUGAAAGUGCUGCAAUAAAGUUUGGUAAACUUUUUACCUUCCCUAAUCACAGGCUUACCUGGGUCACAAGCAUUAGUCAUGGAUAUUCAUUGCAAACUGCAAGCUCGUAAAAGACAGCAUAUGGCAGCCCCAAAUUUCUUGCUAUAUAAAGUUAUAUUCACAGUAAUAACAUCUGUGCAGAAUUUAGAGCCCCACCAAUUAAAGUGAGGUCAACGUGCUGAGGCAGAGAUUGAUGGCAUUCUGCAAAUCUUAAACGACAAGUUAAAUAGGUAUAAAAUAAACAAACAACUUUAUUUCUUAUUAAAGAGCAGACAAGCGGGGUGAGAAUGCUGAGUGCUCAGUAAUGAGGGCCAAGAGGAGCAGGGCAAUGCUGUGGGUUGUGGCUGGGCUGGAACUCAGCAGUGAGGGGUGCACACAGAGCAGGCUCUUGGUGCCUUAUUUUUUUGCUGGUAUAACACAAGUAACAAAUAAAAACUGCUGGGCAGAGCCCUGAAACCCCAACCUGUGAAACUCAGGCUACAAAAGUAUAGAAAGAAGAAGAGGAAGACACACAAGGAGUGGAUGAGGUGACUUGGUCUGUUCAGCUGGAGGAGACUCAUCUUGGUCUAACUUCUUCAGGAGGGGCAGGUAACAGCUCAGUUCUGGGUGUAGGCAGGAACACCUCCAUCAGAACUUAGGUUCUAAAUUGUUUGUUUUUCUUAAAUGGGUAAUGUAACUUUUCUAAAGUGGUUUCUGCCUUAAUUUUUCAGUGAGUGGUGCAAUUUUUGCAGGAAGAAAGAGUUAAAUUGCAAGUAGUGACUAAAAUCACUGUGAUUGGGUUGACCCCACCAGGGAGCUCUUCCUUUGACUCAGUUUGUCUGUUGUGUUGCACUUGAAGUUUAGGAAGUCCUUGUCAAUAAAAACAACAGUACUGGAGAAAA